rnacentral:lncRNA from 1 species
AAUAGUGUAAUAUUUAUUUGUUGUGAAGUUAUGCAGCUAUGAUGUUCUAGGCUUUUUGCUAUGGUGAACAUUGGAGGAGAAAGAAUGAACAAUUUCCGUAAGAUCUCAUUAUUAUUUUAUAAUAUUGGAAUCUAUUAAGGUUGAAUGUAGUUGAAGUCGUUGGUGAUUUAACAAAUCUAUUGUAAAUGUGGUAGAGUUGGACAUGCUUGUCAUGUGUUUGAUAGAAUGUCUGGGAGAUAUAUUGUCUUAUUUAAAAAGUAGACAUUUAAUAACGCUUGCUUCAGUGAAUGCUGGUAAAUGUCUACUUUCUACGGUGCUAAAAAAAACGCUCUUAAAUGACAAAUAUAUCUACUUUCAACUACUCACUAUGGUUAACUUGUAACAUCUGUUAUCUACUUAUCAAAAAUGUUUCUUGUACAACUCACA